UACGGAGGGGGCCAGCGUUGUUCGGAAUUAUUGGGCGUAAAGGGCGCGUAGGCGGCCGGAUAAGUCUGAUGUGAAAUCCCCGGGCUUAACCUGGGAACUGCAUUUGUGACUGCAAGGCUGGAGUGCGGCAGAGGGGGAUGGAAUUCCGCGUGUAGCAGUGAAAUGCGUAGAGAUGUGGAGGAACACCGAUGGCGAAGGCAGCCUCCUGGGCCGACACUGACGCUGAGGGCACGAAAGCGUGGGGAGCAAACAGG
rnacentral:rRNA from 1 species